ACAGGGAACCGAGGGAGAUCUGUAGAACACAGCGCAAUAUAGACAAAAGUUAAAACAAAUGUCAGAAACACAAAUUAAACAAGUAAUGGUCUCUGUUACCAUUUUCAGACAGACCCACGCCAUUUUGAGUCCGUAAAGCACCGCAGCCUGUACAUCAUACUGCUUAUUAUUCUGUUCUCUGGGAUUCCAUUCAUAUAAAACAGUGACAGGCUGUGGAAUUUUGCUGAAUGGCUGGGUCCCAGGGGCAACAGUCUGAGCAGGGACACCCAGACUUCUCUCUCCCCAGAC